GUAGGAGGGUAGUGGAGUGGCCUCAAAAGAGAGGCCCCUCUUCCUCCCUCAAUUCCAGGGUGUGCCUGAGAGAGAGCUUCUGUGCUUCGCUCCAAAAAAAAGAUGGUGAAAUUGAGGUUCAUUUCAGGAAUUAUGGAACUUGCUGGAAGUCAUGCAGCUACUAAGUGAUAGAGACAUUAGUCUGAGGAGUCUUGUGGCCAUUUUGAAAUGUUAGAGUCCUAGGGAAAGAAAAAUCAUGGAAUUUCCAUAUUCAUGGAAAAACAGGACCUUCUCAGAUGACUAAAAGAAAUCAAAAUUCCAUUCACAAAAGAAAAAAGUUACAUGAAAUGUCUCUUUAGGAUAAAUUCCCAGAAAUGGAAUUUCUCUGGAUGCCCUGCACUGCUGAUUUGAUACAGAUUGCCAAAUGGCCUGAAGAGUUACUUUUCAAAUUUUAGGUCCCAGAUGUCCAGUUAUGGUGGAGCCCUCCCUACCUUUAAGCUCACUGUGAGCUCCCCAGAUUCUGCAAGAAAGGCCAGGGUAGAGAAAAUAUCCGGUGAAAACCACAACUAACCUGUGCCUGGUUCUGGAAGGUUCUUCACGCACAUUAUCUUGUGCAAGCCACAGAUCAUUCUUAAGAAGCUGGUAUCAUCUGAUCUACUUUAUAUAUGAAGACUCGGAAGCUCAGAAGCUGGAUAAAUUCCUCAAAGAGAGAAGUUUGCUAUUGAAACUUGACUUUAUGGGGCCACAAAAUGCCCUGGGCACUUGGAGGAUGAGUAGUAAAAGUAGGGUGAAGAGGCCAAGCUUUGUCUACUUUGAAUGCUUACCCUCAAUGUCACUGCUCCUUUGUCCUGUUCCUAACACUCUACAGAAACCAGUGCUACGGAUGGGUACGGAGCCAACCCUCCCUCCAUAAAUGUCAGCACCUGCCUGGGGCUCCUAACAUUGGCCUUUAUCUUCCCCACAGGGCUGACUUUUUUAUGAGUUGAAGUCUGAGAAACAAGUCAGUUUCCCACUUCUCUAAAAUCUUAAAAUAGGAAACAUCAGCCAUAAGCUAUGAGAGCAAGCCAGCCAAGGUGUAUGUUUGCUGGAAAUAAAACUGGUAGGUCCUUCAGGGCAAGGGGGGGAUGGACUCAGGGGCAUUUCUUCACCAUCUGUUUCAGCCUCCAAUGUGUCUUGAUAGAUGGUUUUUGCUUAUUACUCAUUACUCACCUCAUCUUUCUCCCUGAGCUCCGUUCCUUGAAAUAUGGUUCUCUCAUUUGAAUAGCAAUGACUAAGUGCAUUGGAACUUACUUAAAUACAUUCUAAAAACAUUAAAUUGAGAACACACAAUCCAGCAAUGUACCAAUUGCCAAACUCUAGUAAAAGUUGAAGUGAUUAAAACAAUUUAAUGCAUGAAACACGCGUUCAGGAAGGCAAAGAGAAAGAGUAAGUUUUUCCAGUGCAACGUCAGCCCGGUGAUAUUUCGGAAGAAGUGGGUGGAGGCCAUUGCCAAGAGAAAGUGAAAUAAUUGAUGAAGACCCAAAGGAAAAUGCCCUUGAUCUCGAAGUUAUUACUUCAUUUCAUGAAAUACCUUAAAAGUCAAUGACAGACUAUAAAGUCAGAAAGUCAAUAGUUUUUCCCCCCCUUGGAUACAAUUCCAAUAUGUGCAUAUAAACAUGUCAGGCAGUCCUCUAGAAAAGAAAAAAAACUAUAGCUUGGGGUCUGGGUCAUGUUUUCAAAUAGCCUUAUUAUUCCUGUUAUGAAGUGGACACUCAGGUAUUUGGCUCGGGACUUUUAUCCACACCCAAGUGAUUGGGUGAUUUAUAACUUGCUAUCCACAUUCUCAUAGCUGUUUGGUCAAUUUAAAGGCCUAAAACUGGGCUUGAUGUUUACUCUAUCAGGAA